AAUGUGUGGUUGUUAACUUGCCCAGGUGAUGGGGGUAGAAAUUAACCCCUCCCAUCUAUUAAUGAACACCUGCCCAGACUUUAUCUGAUUUGGUUACAUUGGGUGAAUCUGACUAAUUUGUUUUGCAUAUCCUCAAGCUGUUAAAUUUAACAACUAUAUAACUUAUUUAUCCACAUUUGGUUGUCUUCUUCCUGGUGUGCUGGCAGUGGACAAUCUAGGAAUUUUAACUUUGAGUCUGCAUUUCCUCAGUUGCAUGGUGGUUGUGAUCACAAUGGAGCAAAAUGGAAGGAGAAGCAGCAGCAGCGGUGGUGGGGGAAAGCAGGAGUGACUUUCAUUCGUUCUGUUGCCAGUAUAGGGAAAAUGUGGGAGCCAAUUGUUGCUUUCUGAGGUGUGAUGACUUACUGCCCAUUAAUUAAUGCCAGCCAUGACAGAACAAAUCAUAAUACAAGCACACACUGAAGAAGAUGGAAAAGCAGAAGCGACUUGCCAAUUGGGAAUCCUAGCUCUGUAAAUCACUGUGGUGAGCAGGACAUCUCUUCAGGAAAGAGAGGCUGACAGGACAGGAGGGCUGAGGAUAAGAGUCUGGAGAAAAAUGUGCCCUGAAAAAGAUCUCUCUAUUUCCCAGAUGGUUUGACACAUGCAACCCUACAGACUUCACUGCAGAGUCAUUAAUGGAAAUGAGAUUGAAAUCCAGCCCAGGGUCUCCAGGAUGCAUAUAAGGCCCCCUCUCUUUCCCAGCCACAUCAAAAUGAAAACGUGAAGCCUAAAAUUCCUCUGACUGACAGAACCAUAUCAGUAACAACACAGAGCUUGUGCCAUUCACGCAGGAGCUGAGCUAACUGACUUCAACAGUGUGUGGAAUCUGAAAUCCAUCUAAACAGGAACAGCUUCAUCAGCAAGGUGACAGCUACAAUUAGCAUAGAAAAGCCUGAUGAAAUAAAGACAGAGUGAAGUCCCGAGAUGAGAAAUAGAUUAUCCAGCUGUCAGAGAAGACAGGAGACAAAAACACAGUUACUAGGGUGACAGGGUGCAUUGUAGGAAAGAAGCUGUAGGAAUAAUAAUAAAAGAAAUGCUGUGGAGAAGCAAUCAAAGUCCCCGAGGCAAAACAAAGCAGCAACUGGUAAAGGAGGAUGGCAACACGAUCAAAGAUGGAUGAGAAAGCCGUUAUAAAUGCUUACUUGGAGGGGAAAACCUUGUAUUUGAAAAUGACACCACAUAUACACAAAGGAGUAGGACAGCUGUAACGCACCGGUGGAAACAGCAGCAAGUCGUUCGUCAACUAAUGUCAAAAAGUUACUCCAGGAAAGUAAAAUGCAGGAACGUGUUUAUGAAAA